UGGCGGUAGGCUUAACACAUGCAAGUCGAGCGGUAACAGGCAUUUUGAUUCAGCUUGCUGAAUCUCGCGCUGACGAGCGGCGGACGGGUGAGUAACGCGUAGGAAUCUACCUAGUAGAAGGGGAUAGCCCGGGGAAACUCGGAUUAAUACCGUAUACGUCCUUAGGGAGAAAGAGGGCUUAGCUUAGAUGCUCUCGCUAUUAGAUGAGCCUGCGUAAGAUUAGCUUGUUGGUGAGGUAAAGGCUCACCAAGGCUACGAUCUUUAGCUGGUCUGAGAGGACGAUCAGCCACAUUGGGACUGAGACACGGCCCAGACUCCUACGGGAGGCAGCAGUGGGGAAUAUUGGACAAUGGGCGCAAGCCUGAUCCAGCCAUACCGCGUGUGUGAAGAGGGCCUUCGGGUUGUAAAGCACUUUAAGUAAGGAAGAAAAGUAUACUGUUAAUACCAAUGUACCGUGACAUUACUUACAGAAUAAGGACCGGCUAAUUCCGUGCCAGCAGCCGCGGUAAUACGGAAGGUCCAAGCGUUAAUCGGAAUUACUGGGCGUAAAGCGCGCGUAGGUGGUUUAUUAAGUUGGGUGUGAAAGCCCCGGGCUCAACCUGGGAACUGCAUCCAAAACUGAUUCACUAGAGUACGAAAGAGGGAGGUAGAAUUCACAGUGUAGCGGUGGAAUGCGUAGAUAUUGUGAAGAAUACCAAUGGCGAAGGCAGCCUCCUGGUUCUGUACUGACACUGAGGUGCGAAAGCGUGGGUAGCGAACAGGAUUAGAUACCCUGGUAGUCCACGCCGUAAACGAUGACAACCAGCUGUUGGGAAGCAAUGCUUUUCAGUGGCGCAGCUAACGUCUUAAGUUGUCCGCCUGGGGAGUACGGCCGCAAGGUUAAAACUCAAAUGAAUUGACGGGGACCCGCA
rnacentral:rRNA from 1 species